ACCCUCUCAGGGUUAUACCUGGAGAGUUUCCAAUACUUUACCAGUCUCAGUUAUGGGAGGGAGAGUCAAGCAGAGGCAUACCAAUUCCAUUCCUAGCUUGGUCAGUGGCUAGCGAGUGAAAGGCAAUCUGCUACAAGU
rnacentral:snoRNA from 2 species